ACUUGAGCUCUUCAAGCUCUACGAAUUCGAGGCCUGUCCCUUCUGUAGACGAGUGAGAGAAGCAUUGACAGAGCUCGAUCUUUCUGCCGAGGUGUAUCCGUGCCCAAAAGGAUCUCGAGUCCAUCGUGCGUUUGUGAAAGCGUCUGGAGGCAAAGAGCAGUUUCCAUUUCUCUUGGAUCCAAACACCGGCGUGUCAAUG